CCCUUAGAUGUUCUGGGCUGCACGCGUGCUACACUGAUAUUGCCAAUAUGUCAUUCUUAUCCGAAAUGGAUUGGGUAAUCAAGUAAUGAAAUUUCAUGCUUGGAAUCGGUAAUUGCAAUUUUAUCGUGAACGAGGAAUUCCUAGUAAGCACUAGUCAUCAGCUAAUGUUGAUUACGUCCCUGCCCUUUGUACACACCGCCCGUCGCUCCUACCGAUUGGGUGUGCUGGUGAAAUGUUCGGAUCGGCCGUUUGUCGCGGUUUCCGCGUCAUGUGGCUGAGAAGUUCAUUAAACCCUCCCACCUAGAGGAAGGAGAAGUCGUAACA
rnacentral:rRNA from 1 species